UACGUAGGGUGCGAGCGUUAAUCGGAUUUACUGGGCGUAAAGCGUGCGCAGGCGGCCCGUUAAGACAGGUGUGAAAUCCCUGGGCUCAACCUAGGAAUUGCGCUUGUGACUGGCGGGCUCGAGUACGGUAGAGGGGGGUGGAAUUCCUGGUGUAGCAGUGAAAUGCGUAGAGAUCAGGAAGAACACCGGUGGCGAAGGCAGCCCCCUGGGCCUGUACUGACGCUCAUGCACGAAAGCGUGGGGAGCAAACAGG
rnacentral:rRNA from 1 species